AGCGUACACGGUGGAUGCCCUGGCAGUCAGAGGCGAUGAAGGACGUGCUAAUCUGCGAUAAGCGUCGGUAAGGUGAUAUGAACCGUUAUAACCGGCGAUUUCCGAAUGGGGAAACCCAGUGUGAUUCGUCACACUAUCAUUAACUGAAUCCAUAGGUUAAUGAGGCGAACCGGGGGAACUGAAACAUCUAAGUACCCCGAGGAAAAGAAAUCAACCGAGAUUCCCCCAGUAGCGGCGAGCGAACGGGGAGCAGCCCAGAGCCUGAAUCAGUGUGUGUGUUAGUGGAAGCGUCUGGAAAGGCGCGCGAUACAGGGUGACAGCCCCGUACACAAAAAUGCACAUGCUGUGAGCUCGAUGAGUAGGGCGGGACACGUGGUAUCCUGUCUGAAUAUGGGGGGACCAUCCUCCAAGGCUAAAUACUCCUGACUGACCGAUAGUGAACCAGUACCGUGAGGGAAAGGCGAAAAGAACCCCGGCGAGGGGAGUGAAAAAGAACCUGAAACCGUGUACGUACAAGCAGUGGGAGCCUCUUUAUGGGGUGACUGCGUACCUUUUGUAUAAUGGGUCAGCGACUUAUAUUCUGUAGCAAGGUUAACCGAAUAGGGGAGCCGAAGGGAAACCGAGUCUUAACUGGGCGUUAAGUUGCAGGGUAUAGACCCGAAACCCGGUGAUCUAGCCAUGGGCAGGUUGAAGGUUGGGUAACACUAACUGGAGGACCGAACCGACUAAUGUUGAAAAAUUAGCGGAUGACUUGUGGCUGGGGGUGAAAGGCCAAUCAAACCGGGAGAUAGCUGGUUCUCCCCGAAAGCUAUUUAGGUAGCGCCUCGUGAAUUCAUCUCCGGGGGUAGAGCACUGUUUCGGCAAGGGGGUCAUCCCGACUUACCAACCCGAUGCAAACUGCGAAUACCGGAGAAUGUUAUCACGGGAGACACACGGCGGGUGCUAACGUCCGUCGUGAAGAGGGAAACAACCCAGACCGCCAGCUAAGGUCCCAAAGUCAUGGUUAAGUGGGAAACGAUGUGGGAAGGCCCAGACAGCCAGGAUGUUGGCUUAGAAGCAGCCAUCAUUUAAAGAAAGCGUAAUAGCUCACUGGUCGAGUCGGCCUGCGCGGAAGAUGUAACGGGGCUAAACCAUGCACCGAAGCUGCGGCAGCGACACUAUGUGUUGUUGGGUAGGGGAGCGUUCUGUAAGCCUGCGAAGGUGUACUGUGAGGUAUGCUGGAGGUAUCAGAAGUGCGAAUGCUGACAUAAGUAACGAUAAAGCGGGUGAAAAGCCCGCUCGCCGGAAGACCAAGGGUUCCUGUCCAACGUUAAUCGGGGCAGGGUGAGUCGACCCCUAAGGCGAGGCCGAAAGGCGUAGUCGAUGGGAAACAGGUUAAUAUUCCUGUACUUGGUGUUACUGCGAAGGGGGGACGGAGAAGGCUAUGUUGGCCGGGCGACGGUUGUCCCGGUUUAAGCGUGUAGGCUGGUUUUCCAGGCAAAUCCGGAAAAUCAAGGCUGAGGCGUGAUGACGAGGCACUACGGUGCUGAAGCAACAAAUGCCCUGCUUCCAGGAAAAGCCUCUAAGCAUCAGGUAACAUCAAAUCGUACCCCAAACCGACACAGGUGGUCAGGUAGAGAAUACCAAGGCGCUUGAGAGAACUCGGGUGAAGGAACUAGGCAAAAUGGUGCCGUAACUUCGGGAGAAGGCACGCUGAUAUGUAGGUGAAGUCCCUUGCGGAUGGAGCUGAAAUCAGUCGAAGAUACCAGCUGGCUGCAACUGUUUAUUAAAAACACAGCACUGUGCAAACACGAAAGUGGACGUAUACGGUGUGACGCCUGCCCGGUGCCGGAAGGUUAAUUGAUGGGGUUAGCGGUAACGCGAAGCUCUUGAUCGAAGCCCCGGUAAACGGCGGCCGUAACUAUAACGGUCCUAAGGUAGCGAAAUUCCUUGUCGGGUAAGUUCCGACCUGCACGAAUGGCGUAAUGAUGGCCAGGCUGUCUCCACCCGAGACUCAGUGAAAUUGAACUCGCUGUGAAGAUGCAGUGUACCCGCGGCAAGACGGAAAGACCCCGUGAACCUUUACUAUAGCUUGACACUGAACAUUGAGCCUUGAUGUGUAGGAUAGGUGGGAGGCUUUGAAGUGUGGACGCCAGUCUGCAUGGAGCCGACCUUGAAAUACCACCCUUUAAUGUUUGAUGUUCUAACGUUGGCCCCUAAUCGGGGUUGCGGACAGUGUCUGGUGGGUAGUUUGACUGGGGCGGUCUCCUCCUAAAGAGUAACGGAGGAGCACGAAGGUUGGCUAAUCCUGGUCGGACAUCAGGAGGUUAGUGCAAUGGCAUAAGCCAGCUUGACUGCGAGCGUGACGGCGCGAGCAGGUGCGAAAGCAGGUCAUAGUGAUCCGGUGGUUCUGAAUGGAAGGGCCAUCGCUCAACGGAUAAAAGGUACUCCGGGGAUAACAGGCUGAUACCGCCCAAGAGUUCAUAUCGACGGCGGUGUUUGGCACCUCGAUGUCGGCUCAUCACAUCCUGGGGCUGAAGUAGGUCCCAAGGGUAUGGCUGUUCGCCAUUUAAAGUGGUACGCGAGCUGGGUUUAGAACGUCGUGAGACAGUUCGGUCCCUAUCUGCCGUGGGCGCUGGAGAACUGAGGGGGGCUGCUCCUAGUACGAGAGGACCGGAGUGGACGCAUCACUGGUGUUCGGGUUGUCAUGCCAAUGGCACUGCCCGGUAGCUAAAUGCGGAAGAGAUAAGUGCUGAAAGCAUCUAAGCACGAAACUUGCCCCGAGAUGAGUUCU
rnacentral:rRNA from 1 species